CCUACGGGUGGCAGCAGUGGGGAAUAUUGGGCAAUGGGCGCAAGCCUGACCCAGCAACGCCGCGUGAAGGAAGAAGGCCCUCGGGUUGUAAACUUCUUUUAUUCGGGACGAAAAAAAUGACGGUACCGCAUGAAUAAGCCACGGCUAACUACGUGCCAGCAGCCGCUGUAAUACGUAGGUGGCAAGCGUUGUCCGGAUUUACUGGGUGUAAAGGGCGUGUAGCCGGGAAUGCAAGUCAGAUUUAAAAUCUGGAGGCUCAACCUCCAAAUUGCAUUUAAAACUGUUUUUCUUGAGUACUGGUGAGGCAGACGGAAUUCCUUGUGUAGCGGUGAAAGGCGUAGAUAUAAGGAGGAACACCAGUGGCGAAGGCGGUCUGCUGGACAGCAACUGACGGUGAGGCGCGAAAGCGUGGGGAGCAAACAGGAUUAGAUACCCGGGUAGUC
rnacentral:rRNA from 1 species